rnacentral:rRNA from 1 species
AUUGAACGCUGGCGGCAGGCCUAACACAUGCAAGUCGAGCGAGCGGCGGACGGGUGAGUAAUGUAUGGGGACUGCCCGAUAGAGGGGGAUAACUACUGGAAACGGUGGCUAAUACCGCAUACUAGAGGCUAACACAUAUGGGAUUAGCUAUUAGGUGGGGUAAGGGCUCACCUGGGCGACGAUCUCGAGCUGGUCUGAGGAGAGGAUCAGCAACACGGGGACUGAGACACGGGCCAGAAUACUACGGCGGCAGCGGUGGGGAAUAAUGCACAAAGGACGAAGGCCGGAUGCAGCCAUGCCGCGUGUAUGAAUAAGGCCUUAGGUUUGUAAAGUACUUUCAGCGGGGAGGCUUUACCCGCAGAAGAAGCACAGGCUAACACCGUGCCAUCCGCCGCGGUAAUUC